rnacentral:rRNA from 1 species
CCUACGGGCGGCUGCAGUCGAGAAUCUUCGGCAAUGGACGAAAGUGUGACCGAGCGAUACUGCGUGCAGGAAGAAGGCCUUCGGGUUGUAAACUGCUGUCGUAUGGGAAGAACUUUGACGGUACCAUACAAGAAAGGGGCGCCUAACUCUGUGCCAGCAGGCGCGGUAAUACAGAGGCCCCAAGCGUUAGCCGGAUUUAUUGGGCGUAAAGGGUCCGCAGGCGGAAUAGUGCGUCUUCUGUGAAAUCCUAUCGGCUCAACCGAGAGGCUGCAGUGGAUACGACUAUUCUUGAAGCAAGGAGAGGUAAGCGGAAUUCCUAGUGGAGCGGUGAAAUGCGUUGAUAUUAGGGAGAACACCAAUUGCGAAGGCAGCUUACUGGCCUUGUCUUGACGCUCAGGGACGACAGCGUGGGGAGCGAACGGGCUUAGAUACCCCAGUAGUC